rnacentral:rRNA from 1 species
GAGCGGCGGACGGGUGAGUAACGCGUGGGUAACCUGCCUCAUACAGGGGGAUAACAGUUGGAAACGGCUGCUAAUACCGCAUAAGCGCACAGUACCGCAUGGUACGGUGUGAAAAACUCCGGUGGUAUGAGAUGGACCCGCGUCUGAUUAGGUAGUUGGUGGGGUAACGGCCUACCAAGCCGACGAUCAGUAGCCGACCUGAGAGGGUGACCGGCCACAUUGGGACUGAGACACGGCCCAA